rnacentral:rRNA from 1 species
UGUGAGUGAAGAAGGCCUUCGGGUCGUAAAGCUCUGUCAAGUGGGAAUAAAGUCUCUCGGUGAAUACCCGAGAGAUCUGAAGGUACCACUAAAGGAAACACCGGCUAACUCCGUGCCAGCAGCCGCGGUAAUACGGAGGGUGCAAGCGUUAUUCGGAUUUAUUGGGCGUAAAGAGCGUGUAGGCGGUUGGGAUAGUCAGAUGUGAAAGCCUUCUGCUCAACAGAAGAAGUACGUCUGAAACUGCCCAACUUGAGUACGAGAGAGGAAAGUGGAAUUCCCAAUGUAGAGGUGAAAUUCGUAGAUAUUGGGAGGAACACCUGUGGCGAAGGCGACUUUCUGGAUCGAUACUGACGCUGAGACGCGAAAGCGUGGGUAGCAAACAGGAUUAGAUACCCUGGUAGUCCACGCUGUAAACGAUGGGAACUAGGUGUAGCGGGUAUUGAUCCCUGCUGUGCCAAAGCUAACGCAUUAA